UACAGAGGGGGCUAGCGUUGUUCGGAAUUACUGGGCGUAAAGGGCGCGUAGGCGGCCGGCUAAGUCGAACGUGAAAUCCCCGGGCUCAACCCGGGAACUGCGUCCGAUACUGGCAGGCUUGAAUCCGGGAGAGGGAUGUGGAAUUCCAGGUGUAGCGGUGAAAUGCGUAGAUAUCUGGAGGAACACCGGUGGCGAAGGCGGCAUCCUGGACCGGUAUUGACGCUGAGGCGCGAAAGCCAGGGGAGCAAACGGG
rnacentral:rRNA from 1 species